rnacentral:rRNA from 2 species
GGUUAAGUGACUAAGCGUACACGGUGGAUGCCUGGGCAGUCAGAGGCGAUGAAGGACGUACUAACUUGCGAUAAGCGCAGAUAAGGCAGUAAGAGCCGUUUGAGUCUGCGAUUUCCGAAUGGGGAAACCCAACUGCAUAAGCAGUUACUGUUAACUGAAUACAUAGGUUAACAGAGCAAACCGGGGGAACUGAAACAUCUAAGUACCCCGAGGAGAAGAAAUCAACCGAGAUUCCGGUAGUAGCGGCGAGCGAACCUGGAUUAGCCCUUAAGCACUCGGUGAAGUAGGUGAACAAGCUGGAAAGCUUGGCGAUACAGGGUGAUAGCCCCGUAACCGACGCUUC